rnacentral:rRNA from 1 species
GACAGAGGGUGCAAGCGUUGUCCGGAAUCAUUGGGCGUAAAGCGCGCGUAGGCGGCCCGGUAAGUCCGUUGUGAAAGUCAAAGGCUCAACCCUUGAAUGCCGGUGGAUACUGUCGGGCUAGAGUCCGGAAGAGGCGAGUGGAAUUCCUGGUGUAGCGGUGAAAUGCGCAGAUAUCAGGAGGAACACCAAUGGCGAAGGCAGCUCGCUGGGACGGUACUGACGCUGAGACGCGAAAGCGUGGGGAGCAAACAGG